CUCUAUGUACUGAGCCUUUCAAACCUUUGGAAGAAGCUUCAUUGAAGAAUCUGUCCCUGAAAACAGUGUUUUUGGUGGCCAUUAACUCGGCUAAGAGGAUAGGGGAACUCCAGGCCCUUUCUUCCUCUCCUGACUUUACAAAAUUUCUUCCGGAUAAAGUGGUUAUGUACCCUAAGCCUUCCUUUCUUCUGAAAGUCAUCUCCUCCACGGUUAUAAACCAACCUAUUUUUCUUUCUUCCUUCCUUUAAUGGUCCAUCUAUGCCAGAUUGGAAAUUUGAUUGGAGCCAACUAGAUGUGGGUAGGUCUCUGAAAAUCUACUUGGAACGCUCCUCUACGUAUAGGAUGACUGAUCAUCUAUUCCAAGGCCACUUUAGCUAGAUGGCUGGUGGAUACUAUUAAAUUGGCUUAUUCUUCCUCGAAUCUACCUAUGCUUUCCUCCUUGAAAGCACAUUCUACUAGAGCCAUGGCUGCCUCUUGGGCCAAAAAAGCGUGUGCCUCUCCGGAAGAUAUAUGCAAGGCGGCUACCUUGUCUUCUUUCAACACUUUUGUCAAGCAUUACAGGCUAGACGUAUUCUCUGCCUCUGAUGCUGAUUUUGGGCACAAGGUGUUACAAGCUGUUAUUGCCUAACUUCCUGCACUUAGUAUGGGAUCUCGAUAUAUCCCUAUUGUACUGCCACCAUAUGUCAGGAAAAACUGUAAUUUUACUCACUGUAAAUUCCUUUUUCGUUAAUAUGGUGGCAGUGCAUCACUCCCUC